CUAUGAUAUCACAAUUCACCUGAUUAUUGACAUAAUCAGCCCCACCCAGACUCUCAACCAAUGAGAGAAGACCUAGUAGUAUAUAAGAAGCUCUUCUCAAAUGACUCUUGCCCUCUGUGGCCGGGCUGUUUAGCAGCUGGUCUCACUGCUUAGGUUCCUAAAGCCUAGCUGUUACAGCGUCCUUGCUACAGAAAGAGAUCGUUGUCUGACCAGAGACAAAACUUACUUCUGUCUGGUAGCAGAGUACCUACAUUUGGCUUUCCAGAUCUCACCUCAGUUCCAGAUUCCUCUACAUUAAAAUCUUCGCCUGGGUUACAUCUUCUCUCAGGAUUGAAUAUCAACACUAUUGAAGACACCUCAUGUGACAUCACAAACAGCUUUCUUGGACUCUCCAGGGAGGUGGAGCAAGAUGGCUGAAUAGAAGCCUCCAGCAAUUGUCCCCCACUCACAGGAACACCAAAUUGAACAACUAUCCACACACAAAAAAAAGCACCUUCAUACAAAGAAAAAUCAGGCCUGGAACAGAUCAGCCUCCCUGCAGGAAUCAACUGAGAAAGAAUUAAUGACACUUUCGAAAGCUUUAAAUUCCAAUGAGAAAUUGAAGCCCUGGGAAUAUCUGCCUCAACAUUUUAUAGGGUGUAUGCCUGCAGUCAGUGAGAAGCACGAGGAUAUUCCGUUCCUUGAACAUAGUAUGUUCAACAUUUCCAUGGGUUGGUGGCAGAAAUAGCACUCUGGCUAGCUGGGAGAAUGGGACCUUUAAUACCAGUGAUGUGAGGAUGGAUAUUAGCCUUUUGUGGCCCUAAAAUGAGAUAUGUUCUGAGACAGCUGAUAACAGAAUGAAGGGGGAUUUUCUUAAAGCAUCCAUGACCCUAACAAGGAAACUGGAAGUUGCAUUCUAUUGAUCCAAGGCUAAGAAGGAAUUAAGUUGCCAUCAGAUCAAAUUCCGGCAAAGCGUCUGGAAGAGACAUGGCUUCAAAUCAAUGUUUUGAAAAAGAAAUUAAGAAUAUAUUC
rnacentral:lncRNA from 1 species